AGUAUAUUUCAAAAAUAUAAAGAGCAACUAAAGAUGGAACAGGACACGAUUCGAAAGAAGAAACGAAAAAAAAAAGAAGAAUCAAUUGCAAAAUACAAACAAACAAUUCUUACUUCAAUGCCUGAAGCGCAAGAUGUAUAAGUUUUUUUUAAUAAAAGGGAGGAAAAUCACUAAGGAAGCGAACCUUUUGCUCUUUUGAAAACAAUUCGAACCGAUUGUCUGAAGAAAAGAUUAAAAUUGAAUGGGAAUGGGCCCUAUUUUAUGCGAAAAUUAGCCGCACAAUAUGGAUAAGGAAA